rnacentral:rRNA from 1 species
GAUGAACGCUGGCGGCGUGCUUAACACAUGCAAGUCGAACGGAAAGGCCGAAGCUUGCUUCGGUACUCGAGUGGCGAACGGGUGAGUAACACGUGGGUGAUCUGCCCUGUACUUCGGGAUAAGCUUGGGAAACUGGGUCUAAUACCGGAUAUGACGAUCUCUUGGAUGGGGUUGUGGAAAGCUUUUGCGGUAUGGGAUGAGCUCGCGGCCUAUCAGCUUGUUGGUGGGGUAAUGGCCUACCAAGGCGUCGACGGGUAGCCGGCCUGAGAGGGUGUACGGCCACAUUGGGACUGAGAUACGGCCCAGACUCCUACGGGAGGCAGUAGUGGGGAAUAUUGCACAGUGGGCGCAAGCCUGAUGCAGCGACGCCGCGUGGGGGAUGACGGCCUUCGGGUUGUAAACUCCUUUCGCAAUCGACGAAGCCUUUUGGUGACGGUAGGUUGAGAAGAAGCACCGGCUAACUACGUG